rnacentral:lncRNA from 1 species
GAGGCAGAGCAGCACCCAGCACCUCAAGUUCAGUGCCCCAGCUCUCACUGCUCUGCUGAGGCUGUGAGGUCAUUUGUUAUCACAGUACAGUGGUGCAUCAUGCCUGACUCUGUCACUGUAUCUUCAUAAGGUCUGGGGCCAUUGAUGGCAUCAACAUCUUAAUUUCUCCAAUCUUGCAGAGGAAGACAAUAUUCCACCUUGACAUGAUAGUGACUGAGGAACUACAGCAUUCUAAAAGGGAAUUGUAGAAGAGGGCAUUGUCCCAGAAUCAGGGAACAGUCACUGAAACUGGAGUCUUGAAAUUGGUUCUCCAUGGCACAUGUGGAAGUCUUUGACGAGGCCAAGGUGUUUGCAUGGUCAUUGUCAUAUGUUAUGACAGCUAGAAGUGUCCAGGAGUUAAGGGUUAUUAGAGGGUGUACGUUGCAAAGGCAUGGAGAUGAAGAAUAAAGGGGAAAUUGUUUUUGCU